rnacentral:rRNA from 1 species
UAGUUGGUGGGGUAAUGGCUUACCAAGACUAUGACACAUAACUGGUUUGAGAGGAUGAUCAGUCACACUGGAACUGAGACACGGUCCAGACUCCUACGGGAGGCAGCAGUGGGGAAUAUUGCACAAUGGACGAAAGUCUGAUGCAGCAACGCCGCGUGGAGGAUGACACAUUUCGGUGCGUAAACUCCUUUUAUAUGAGAAGAUAAUGACGGUAUUAUAUGAAUAAGCACCGGCUAACUCCGUGCCAGCAGCCGCGGUAAUACGGGGGGUGCAAGCGUUACUCGGAAUCACUGGGCGUAAAGAGCAUGUAGGCGGAUUAAUAAGUUUGAAGUGAAAUCCUAUAGCUUAACUAUAGAACUGCUUUGAAAACUGUUAAUCUAGAAUGUGGGAGAGGUAGAUGGAAUUUCUGGUGUAGGGGUAAAAUCCGUAGAGAUCAGAAGGAAUACCGAUUGCGAAGGCGAUCUACUGGAACAUUAUUGACGCUGAGAUGCGAAAGCGUGGGGAGCAAACAGGAUUAGAUACCCUGGUAGUCCACGCCCUAAACGAUGUACACUAGUUGUUGUGAGACUUGAUCUUGCAGUAAUGCAGUUAACACAUUAA